rnacentral:rRNA from 1 species
UGAGGAAGUAAAAGCUCCGUAAUAAGGUCUCCGUUGGUGAACCAGCGGAGGGAUCAUUACCGAGUUUACAACUCCCAAACCCAUGUGAACAUACCUAUUGUUGCUUCGGCGGGAUUGCCCCGGGCGCCUCGUGUGCCCCGGAUCAGGCGCCCGCCUAGGAAACUUAACUCUUGUUUUAUUUUGGAAUCUUCUGAGUAGUUUUUACAAAUAAAUAAAAACUUUCAACAACGGAUCUCUUGGUUCUGGCAUCGAUGAAGAACGCAGCGAAAUGCGAUAAGUAAUGUGAAUUGCAGAAUUCAGUGAAUCAUCGAAUCUUUGAACGCACAUUGCGCCCGCCAGUAUUCUGGCGGGCAUGCCUGUCUGAGCGUCAUUUCAACCCUCAUGCCCCUAGGGCGUGGUGUUGGGGAUCGGCCAAAGCCCGCGAGGGACGGCCGGCCCCUAAAUCUAGUGGCGGACCCGUCGUGGCCUCCUCUGCGAAGUAGUGAUAUUCCGCAUCGGAGAGCGACGAGCCCCUGCCGUUAAACCCCCAACUUUCCAAGGUUGACCUCAGAUCAGGUAGGAAUCCCCGCUGAACUUAAGCAUAUCAAUA